rnacentral:rRNA from 1 species
GGUGUGUUUUACCUGAAGCCGGUGCGCUAACCGCAAGGAGGCAGCCGCCACGGUAGGGUCAGCGACUGGGGUG